CGGGGUGAGUAACACGUGAGCAACCUGCCUUUCAGAGGGGAAUAACGUUUGGAAACGAACGCUAAUACCGCAUAACAUUGGGAUAUGGCAUCAUGACCCAAUCAAAGAUUUAUCGCUGAAAGAUGGGCUCGCGCCCGAUUAGGUAGUUGGUGAGAUAAUAGCCCACCAAGCCGACGAUCGGUAGCCGGACUGAGAGGUUGAACGGCCACAUUGGGACUGAGACACGGCCCAGACUCCUACGGGAGGCAGCAG
rnacentral:rRNA from 1 species